AUCUGAGUAAGGGCUAAGCGAGAAGAGGUCCCUCCUGCAGAACUAGAGCACUUGCUUCAAACACAUCCAAAUAUCAUCGAAGCUGCGGUGGUUCCAUACCCUAAUGAAGAAGCAGGUCAGGUGCCCGUGGCUUUUGUUGUCAGACUGCUCGAUAGCACUGUCAGUGAGUCCCAACUCAUGGAAUUUGUGGCUCAACAGGUUGCACCAUACAAAAGGAUCCAUCAUGUUUUGUUUGU